CUCUGCUUUUGGUCUCCUGAGGGACAUAUCUGGCUCUUCAGCUUAUAAAUGCUCCCCGAUGUUCACCAGCUAGUCGCUAACUUUGACCGUGAGCCGCAUGAUGCUAA